GAAACCCUAACUGGUCAUUUUCCAUCUCCUCGCUCAGCUUCAGUCUUCUGUCGUCGUCCUCCCCAUCUCACAUCUGCAUCGCGCCGCCCCUCCUCCCAAUCCCGUCCGGCGCCGCCGCACCCCACACCCGCUGCUGCCCCCACUCCUCUAGUGCCAUCGUCCAGCCACUCCAGCGCCGCCUCCCUCCCCAUCGACCAGCGCCUCACUGCCCGUCCAGCGCCGCCACCACGCCUCCAACGCCAGUCUCCCACCCCACCGAGCGCCGAGCCCUCGCCAUCCAGCACCGCCCACCUCCCCAUCAAGCGCCGCCGAGAUUCCGGGAGAGACCCCCGCCGCGAUGCCGAGAAGGUGGCAGGUCUGGGGCCGGCCCGACAGUAGCCAAGUCUGGGUCCCCGCCCCCGCCCCCGACGCGCCGCCCC
rnacentral:rRNA from 1 species